UACGAAGGGGGCUAGCGUUGUUCGGAAUUACUGGGCGUAAAGCGUGCGCAGGCGGUUAUUCAAGGCAGAGGUGAAAGCCCCGGGCUCAACCCGGGAAUGGCCUUUGAGACUGGAUAGCUAGAGUGUGAGAGAGGUGAGUGGAAUUCCCAGUGUAGAGGUGAAAUUCGUAGAUAUUGGGAAGAACACCCGUGGCGAAGGCGGCUCACUGGCUCGCAACUGACGCUCAUGCACGACAGCGUGGGGAGCAAACAGG
rnacentral:rRNA from 1 species